rnacentral:rRNA from 1 species
AGCAGCCGCGGUAAUUCCAGCUCCAAUAGCGUAUAUUAAAGUUGUUGCAGUUAAAAAGCUCGUAGUUGGAUCUAGGGACGCGCAUUUCAAGCGCCCGUGCCAUCGGGUCAAACCGGUGGCUGCGUUGGCGUUGCGGGCUCGGUCCGUCGGUGCUCACAAAAGCAUCGGCGUGUCAACCGGCCCGCCCGUCCCCUCCUUCUGGAUUCCCGUUCAGGCAGAUCCAAUUUUCUGCCACCGAAUACAUUAGCAUGGGAUAAUGGAAUAGGACCCUGUCCUCCUAUUUUCAGUUGGUUUUGGCAGCGCGAGGACUAGGGUAAUGAUUAAUAGGGAUAGUUGGGGGCAUUAAUAUUUAAUUGUCAGAGGUGAAAUUCUUGGAUUUAUGAAAGAUUAACUUCUGCGAAAGCAUCUGCCAAGGAUGUUUUCAUUAAUCAAGAACGAAAGUUA